rnacentral:rRNA from 1 species
UACAGAGGUCCCGAGCGUUGUUCGGAUUCACUGGGCGUAAAGGGUGCGUAGGUGGUGAGGUAAGUCGGAUGUGAAAUCUCCGGGCGCAACCCGGAAAUGGCAUUGGAAACUACCUUGCUGGAGGAUUUGAGGGGGGAUUGGAAUACUUGGUGUAGCAGUGAAAUGCGUAGAUAUCAAGUGGAACACCAGUGGCGAAGGCGAAUCCCUGGAAAAUACCUGACACUGAGGCACGAAAGCUAGGGGAGCAAACAGG